CUCCUCAAGAGAUGAUUGAACGCGGAAGUCAACCUUCUGACAAGAAGGGAAAGGUGAGAGCAAUAUCUUUUCCGUUUGUUCUGCAUCUCAGUGUACAUUCAUAUGUGAUAUGUGUGUAUACUUGUAUAUUAUCUACCUGCUAUAUGUCAGACACAGAAGUCUCAGCUUGGAAACUAUAAUCAAAAGACAGGUUAAAUGUAUAGAGAAAAUGUACUAAUAUAUAGGAUUUUUCAAAUUCAUUUUCAAUUUUGAAUGUAGAAAUUAUCAGCGUUCUUAUCACCCUAAGUCAUGUUUUUCAAAGAUUAAUUUCUGACUAGAGCUUACCAAAUGCAUCUGCCCAGUAUAAACUGAACGUGAUGUUUAAUUUUCAGGACUUGUUAAAUGGUGAUGGUAGAAAAGAGAAUUAUGAACAGAAUCUUGAGUGUAGUUCCUUUUUCCUUCCACGAGUGGCCUUUGAACUUUUCUCCAGUGUUAAAUCCAGCAUAUUCCAAACACUUGGUGGAACUUCCAUUUCAGGAGCAUUUUCCUCAUUGCCUACAUUUGAAAAGGAUAAUGAAUCAGAUUAUCCUGAUAAGAAAGAUUUGGAAACUUGUAAUUUCUGCAUUGAACCACAUCCAACGGAUGAGUUGCAAUCUACUGAAGACAGAACUUCACAUCCAGAAGUUAUUAGGAUCCAUGACAAGAAUGAUUUUUCGCUUUCUUUAGAAAGCAACAAUUCAAACCAGUUUAAGCAGUUUGAUGUUAUAGAAAAUUGUUCUGAGGACCACCAUUUUUUUGAUGAGGGAAGAGGAUUGUCAACAUUGCAGGUUAGAAAUCGAUCCUAUAGUGUGACAUACUACGUUGAUAUAUUGAUAGGCUAACGAUUUUCUUUGCUUUAUAGGUAAAAAAAGGUUGGGUGAAAAAGGUUCAGCAAGAAUGGAGCAUCCUUGAGAAAAGUCUUCCUGGUACAUACUUUAUCUUUCUUUCUUUUUUAUUAAUCACCCUGUUUUAUAUACUUAUUUCUCCAUAAGAAGCCUUUCUGUCGCAGUCGUUAUUGUUAUAUGAUGCUUAAACUCGAAUUAGGAAGUUAAAUGAGUCACCGUCACCGGAGACACUGGUCUCUUAGCCAUUUUAAAAAGGAAAUCCAUUUUGAGUGACAAAAUAUAUAUGGCAAGAUGGCAUGGUAUAUGUUGUUAUAUUUUUUAUCCAUAGCCACAGCAGGACCUCAAAGAAGUUUAAUUGAUGUAGAAUGUAUGCAUGUUUGUACUGAGAGACCUCAAAGAUUUUAUCUGGAAACAAUCUUUAAAUAAGUAACCUGAGUGUUAAUUAUUUGAUAUACUAAUGAAAAUGGAAUUUGUUAAAGGGAAAAUGCUUGUUGGCACGAUGCACAACAAGCACGACCACCACACGACUGUUUGAAGCCGUUAGAUGACUCAUAUAAGCUUUUUUUUUUCCUUUUUUUACUUAUUGUAAAACUUCCGCUUAUUUCUGCCAUCACAUUAAUAUGCAUGUCGUCGAAUUUCGUGUGGUUUAUAUGUCGUGCUGUAUAGCACUUCCCUUUUUUAAAGUAAGCUUUAAAUGUUCAUAACAAUUUCUAUAAAUGCACUUACAAUCUCUAUUGACCCAAACAGACUCUAUUUAUGUUCGUGUGUUUGAAGAAAGAAUGGAUCUCAUGCGAGCAGUAAUUGUUGGUGCAUCUGGAACUCCGUAUCAUGACGGGUUGUUCUUCUUUGAUAUAUGUUUCCCUCCAGAGUAUC
rnacentral:lncRNA from 1 species